UCACAUAGGCUGGGCUGAGGCCAGAGAUCCCGGGGUGAGCACCUGGUGCUCCUGACACACAGCAAGCUCUCACCAGUGUGUUAUUUCCCCACAUCGACCCGAGGCCUGUUCCCCAGGGUCUGAAGGGCAAGUUUCCUUGUGAUCACUCCAGGUGGGGAGUGUGCACCAUCCCUGUGAUCAAUGGAAAGCACUUGUGUUAAUUUAUAAACCUGGGCACAGAGCAGCAGGAGACAUGGAGCGGUUCUGUGUAAAGUCCACAAGUGAUUCUGAAUAUUCGUUUAUUUAAUCUUUUCUCAAUUUAUUUCUACCACGUAUACCUCUAAAUAUGUGUCCUUUCUUAAAUUUAUACAGUGCUAACAGAUGUUUUAAAAUUUAUGUUUCUGAGCAUUUACUGAAUCAAGCAGCCAUGUGCCCCCCGCCCAGUCUACUGACCUGAGCGCAGGUCUACCGUGUUGAGCAGCACACUCUCUGAGCCUCAGAUCCCCUGUUUAGAGAUGGUGAACUCUCCACUCAGAGGUGAGAACACUCUGCAGAAACGCUCUAGCUACGUUCAUUAGUUUUGGAAAACCACAGAAGAAAUGCCCCUGAGAGCCCAGGGGAGAGAGAAAUGGACGACGAAGCUAGAAGGAAAUUCCACAUCUCUGAGAUGAAGAGAAGACACUAAGGCACAAAUAAAUACAUAAAUAAGCGUUAUGAUCCCUAAGAUUGGAAAUGAUGUGAAGAGUAAACACAUCAGAACCAUUAAAGAGAUGUGCCAGAUGCAAAUAAGAAAGAAGCCCCAACCUUGGCAGAAGAGGAAGUUCAAGGAAACGUGGGCUCCGGCUCUGAGCCCGGGAACGCAGGAUCACAGGGCGGCAGCUGAACCUGUGCAGGAGGCGAGCUCAGCGCGGUCGUGAAGGCACCUUCGCCUGCUGUCCCGACUCCUGUCCUAUGACAAGAGCUGCUCUGACUAACGCACACACAGGCCUGCAGCCGUCACACACCACCCCGCGUCUCAGUGGCUUAAAACCACUGUGCGUUUCUCACCCGCGCCUCACGUCCCUCCUGGACUGACAGCGGUGCUCCGCUCGGCACGGGCUCCAGGACGCAGGCUGCUGCGGCCAGUCACCACGCCACUGGGAGGGGGGUGCGGAGGAGCUGGACAAGGAAGUCAGAAGUGCCUCGGGCCGCCUCGAGUCAGCAACCCCAUCGUCCCAGGCGGUGAGACCAACUCCAAGACCCGGGCUCGCCCUGCACUGUGAGGCCCAGAGGAGGGGGCCUCAGGGGCAGACAGGGUCUGGGAGGGCUCCCCAGGGGUCUCAGGGGAGGACCGCCUUGCAGGUAAAGGGGAGCUGGGGGAAGGCCCAGCCUCCGACGUUUCUGGAGGUGCGGAGGUCUCAGUGCCCCGCAGGGCUCAGCCUGUGCCUUGGGUUCCUGCUUCUCCGCUGCUGGUGUGGAUUCUCCCCAGCAGCACCGAGGGGGGACCGCAGGGUCGUGGGGUCGAGGGGGGUGACAGGACGGACCUGUCACCACGGGAGUGCGCUCGCCUCCUCUGGACCCAGGACCGUGAGGCGGUUGUGACCCCAUCUCAGGCCUUCCUUCUGGGAGACGUCCCGCCAGUCUCUCCUUCUGAUUCCAGAGCUUUGCGUGUCAUUAGGCAGCAUCCCUGGUUUCCAGAUCGAGUGGAGAAGCACAGGCUGUCUGACACCUCACGAAGUCUGUGGAUGACUCACCAGCUUCGGAGUUCACAGAGCAGGUUAAAAUUUCAAAUUCCCUCAGAGCCUCCAGACGUUCUGGAGCUCAGUAUGUUUUAUCUUCAAUCAACGCACAAACCCCGCAUCUUCACGCGGAGACACUCAGGCCUCAGGCUUCCAACUACGAAAGCACCACCUUGAGGAGGACGUCACGGUGGACCCGGAGAGGCGCUGGCCCGUGGCUGGGCUGUGGGGAGACUGGUGGGAAUCCACGGGACAAGGGGCGGGAUGGCCAAGCUCUGCCCGGGACAGUCCGGGUGGCCUUAGUCCGCGGGUCUCCAGCUCUGUCCAGGACUGUCCGGGUGGCCUCAGUCCCGUGGGUCUCAUGCUCUGGCUGAGGUCGGCGGGUCUGGAAGCCGCAGGUCCAGGACCGGAAGUCAGGAGGAAAGGCCACAGGCCACGUCCCCGCCUCUCCUCCCGUCAGGGUCUCUGUUUGGGGCAGCCGGGGCCUCGGGACAGUGACCUAGACUCCCUGUAGGACACCGGGAGUGGCCUCCAGCAUCCCCCUCUUCUUCCAGGAGCCCCCAGCUUUCAUCAGGAAUCCGCCAUCCCCCCAUCCCACCCAGACCAGUGAUCCUGGAUGGGCUCCCUUGGCUCCAGGGGGCGCUGUGAUCUCGUCAGUUCAAGCGAAGGUGGGCCCUGGCUGCAGUGAUUGGUUCAGGGAUGUCACAUGACCUGGGUGUGUCCAAUCAGAGUGAAGGUCUGGACUUGCCUGCCAGCCAACAGGAAAGGUUCUUACACUAUCCACUGGCUGUGUCCUGACUGCCGGGAUUGGUUCAGGGACGUCAUAUGACCUCCGCCUGUCCAAUCAGAGUGAGUGUCAGGAGCAGCCAGGCUAACAGGAAAGCCUUGGCCGUGAGAGGAGGUGAGGACGGCGCUCCGCCACCAUCUUGUCGCCGUCGAGGGGCCUAGAGGUGUCAGAUGAGAGAGAUGGGGUCCCGUUCAUGAAGCCAGACGGCCGAGGUGCAAACCAGAGUCCGUGACGUCGUGGAGCCCUGGAUCUGGGGUCCCGAGGGGCCUGCCCACCGCUGCCCCGGCCCGCGGAGCGGACGCAGCCGUCUCUCAGCCGGUGGGCGGCCGAGGGCCUGUCGUCGCCGCGAGCUACGCCUGGUCGGAGGGCGGCUUGGCCUCGAGAGCAGCCCCGCCGAGGCCCGGCCCCAGAAGACAGGGCAGGGCGGUGAGGCGGGCGGUGGGUACGGACGUCGCGGCGGCUCCUGCGGUCCCCGCGACCCAGGACGGCCCGAGGCCGGCGUGUCCGAGUCUCCGCCGGCCCACCUCUCUGCCCUCGGCCCACGGCGGCAGCGUGUGACGGGGCCGCUCCCGGACAGUCCCGGGGAGCUGGUGGGAGGACCACCCGACGCCGCAGGAAGUGGAUCCGGUCAGCAAGACGCGUGACACGAUGCAACCAAGACCCGGAAACUCUCCUCUUGAACGUCUCCCUACUUGACGGAGAAAUGGACCAUGUUGCAAGCUCCCAUUAGCACCUGCAAUUACCGCUUGCCCACACCUUCACUUUUGAAAUUAUAGCACAUAUUCGUCUUAUUACUCUGUGUACAUUCUUGAUUCUCAAAUUAUUCUGCAGAAACUCCCCAGCCUAUAAUUUUCCUGCCCCACUAUUCUCUGUUAAUGAUCACCCACAAUUGCGGUACAAUGUCGGAUUAAAGUCAUAAAGAGCAGACUCGUUGUGAGCUGGAUCCUGGAUGAGCCGUUCAGUUAAUUGAUGGAGCAGCCUCCGGGAACACCUCUCAGGACCUGUGUCUCAUUUUAGGGGGAGGUUCAGCCAGGCUGCAGGAUGUGCCAUGUUGGGAACUGAAAAUUCCCAUGGACAUCCCCAAAGGGCCUCUCCAAGGAUGGUUCUGGAUGUGAGGAACUCCCAGCCCCUUUGCCCAG
ensembl:lncRNA